rnacentral:siRNA from 1 species
UAACAACGCUUAGAUAACUACA